CGCGAAUAGCUCAUUACAACAGCUAACAAAUCUACUUGAUCUUGACACAAUCCUACUUGGAUAACUGUGGUAAUUCUAGAGCUAAUACAUGCAUUAAAGCUCUGACCUUCGGGGAAGAGUGCAUUUAUUAGAACAAAACCAAGCGGCUUCGGCUGUUUUCGGUUGACUCAUAGUAACUGAGCUGAUCGCAUGGUCUUGCACCGGCGACGUGUCUUUCGAGUAUCUGCCGUAUCAACUUUCGAUGGUAGUGUAUCUGACUACCAUGGUGAUCACGCGUAACGGAGAAUAAGGGUUCGACUCCGGAGAGUUCGCCUGAGAAAUCGCGAACACAUCUAAGGAAGGCAGCAGGCGCGAAAAUUACCCACUCUCAGCACGAGGAGGUAGUGACGAAAAAUAACGAGACCGUUCUCUUAUGAGGCCGGUCAUCGGAAUGGGUACAAUUUAAACCCUUUAACGAGUAUCUAUGAGAGGGCAAGUCUGGUGCCAGCAGCCGCGGUAAUUCCAGCU
rnacentral:rRNA from 1 species